UGGAGAUGCAAUCUAAGGCCCUGACUGUGUGUGCCAGGCACCAUUCUAAGGACUUCACAUGCUACCAUUGUUGAACACCUUAGGAGUCAUUCCUUAGGAGAAGUUCAGCAGCAAUCCCUGCAAGGAAAAGGUGCUUGUGACUCACAUGGAUGGAAAAACCAAACUUGUCAUUUGGGAAAGGAACUCGAUUAUGCCCAGUGGAAGGAAGAAUUACAGAAGAGAUUCGUGACCUAGUUUCAGAAAUGAGAGAUGUCUGUAAGCUGAUGACAUUCGGAAAACCUUAAAACAAUACCUUUUUUAUGUGGCACAAGAAGUGACUUAUAAAAGUACUGAAAAUGGGAAAAGCCUAAGAUGAGACCUUGGAAUACAAACAUCCAUUCAUGAAAUGGGAAACAGUGAAGGACAUUAGAGCCAAGCGUCCCACCUGGUUGUUUGGAGAAGUUGAAAUAUGUGAAGAGUAAGAGCAUAACCCUAGCUGGGCUUCCUUUU